GAGGCAGUAUCAUAAUCGGUAAUGAACCCCCUUGUCGAGGGGGUGUAUGAGGGUUCGAGUCCCUUCUUCCUCG
rnacentral:tRNA from 1 species